rnacentral:rRNA from 1 species
AUAUCAAUAAGCGGAGGAAAAGAAACCAACAGGGAUUGCCCUAGUAACGGCGAGUGAAGCGGCAACAGCUCAAAUUUGAAAUCUGGCCCCUUCGGGGUCCGAGUUGUAAUUUGCAGAGGAAGCUUCGGCGUUGGCCCCGGGUCAAGUCCCCUGGGACGGGGCGCCCUAGAGGGUGAGAGCCCCGUACUCACCCGGGUGUACCUCGCCGUGUGAAGCUCCUUCGACGAGUCGAGUUGUUUGGGAAUGCAGCUCUAAGCGGGAGGUAUAUUUCUUCUAAAGCUAAAUACCGGCCAGAGACCGAUAGCGCACAAGUAGAGUGAUCGAAAGAUGAAAAGCACUUUGGAAAGAGAGUUAAAAAGCACGUGAAAUUGUUGAAAGGGAAGCUCUUGCCGCCAGACUUGCCGCGGUUGCUCAGCCGCCCCCCGGGGCGGUGUACUCUUCCGUCGACAGGCCAGCGUCGGUUCGGGCGGCCGGAUAAAGGCCUCGGGAAUGUAGCACCCCUCGGGGUGUGUUAUAGCCCGUGGUGUAAUGCGGCCAGCCCGGUCCGAGGCCCGCGUUCGCGAGGACGCUGGCGUAAUGGCCGCAAGCGACCCGUCUUGAAACACGGACCAAGGAGUCUGACAUCUGUGCGAGUGUUUGGGUCUCACACCCAUACGCGUAAUGAAAGUGAACGGAGGUGGGAACCCCCCCCGAGGGGCGCACCAUCGACCGAUCCUGAUGUGUUCGGAUGGAUUUGAGUAAGAGCAUAGCUGUUGGGACCCGAAAGAUGGUGAACUAUUCCCGGAUAGGGUGAAGCCAGAGGAAACUCUGGUGGAGGCUCGCAGCGGUUCUGACGUGCAAAUCGAUCGUCAAAUCUAGGAAUAGGGGCGAAAGACUAAUCGAACCAU